GUACCGAAACCAUACCGAACCGUGACAUCAAAACCGAGAUAUCCAAGACGGUGCCGAACACUGUGGUAUCCUUUGAAAUUAUGGGCAAAAAUCUCCAGCCAAAUACCAACUACAUUCUGACAGCAACAAUGAGCACAGGCUAUAAUGAUCAUAGUGUAUCUAGUGACCAGAGCGCACCAGUUGAGUUCACCACAUCUUUAUCCCCAGAUGAAAUAGCCAAAAUGGUGAUUCCACCUCUCUGUUUUGGUUUAAUCAUCAUCAUUUGUGUUAUCUUCGUCUGCAUUUUGAGGUGUGUUUUGUGUUUUUCCAUCAUUCGAUA